rnacentral:rRNA from 1 species
AUCAAUAAGCGGAGGAAAAGAAAAUAACAAUGAUUUCCCUAGUAACGGCGAGUGAAGAGGAAAGAGCUCAAAGUUGGAAACUGUUUGGCUUAGCUAAACCGUAUUGUAAACUGUAGAAACAUUUUCCUGGCACGCCGGAUUAAUAAGUCCUUUGGAACAAGGCAUCAUGGAGGGUGAGAAUCCCGUCUUUGAUCCGAGUAGUUGUCUUUUGUGAUAUGUUUUCAAAGAGUCAGGUUGUUUGGGAAUGCAGCCUAAAUUGGGUGGUAAAUCUCACCUAAAGCUAAAUAUUUGCGAGAGACCGAUAGCGAACAAGUACCGUGAGGGAAAGAUGAAAAGAACUUUGAAAAGAGAGUUAAACAGUAUGUGAAAUUGUUAAAAGGGAACCGUUUGGAGCCAGACUGGUUUGACUGUAAUCAACCUAGAAUUCGUUCUGGGUGCACUUGCAGUCUAUACCUGCCAACAACAGUUUGAUUUGGAGGAAAAAAUUAGCAGGAAUGUAGCCUCUCGAGGUGUUAUAGCCUGCUAUCAUACUCUGGAUUGGACUGAGGAACGCAGCGAAUGCCUUUAGGCGAGAUUGCUGGGUGCUUUCGCUAAUAAAUGUUAGAAUUUCUGCUUCGGGUGGUGCUAAUGUUUAAAGGAGGAACACAUCUAGUAUAUUUUUUAUUCGCUUAGGUUGUUGGCUUAAUGACUCUAAAUGAC